rnacentral:rRNA from 1 species
CAUCGCGAGGUGAAGCAAGUCCCAAAAAAGUAGUCUCAGUUCAGAUUGUAGGCUGCAACUCGCCUACAUGAAGUCGGAAUUGCUAGUAAUCGCGGAUCAGCAUGCCGCGGUGAAUACGUUCCCGGGCCUUGUACACACCGCCCGUCACACCAUGAGAGCCGGUAACACCCGAAGUCAGUAGCCUAACCGCAAGGGGGGCGCUGCCGAAGGUGGGAUUGGUAAUUGGGGUGAAGUCGUAACAAGGUAUC